rnacentral:lncRNA from 1 species
UUUCAUAGUGUUAUAAAUUUGUCAGCCUAAUGGGACAUUUUGUAGAUGUUUUCCUUUUUAACUGCUUUAACAGGAGGAGGUAUUCCAUUGAUCCAAAAAUUCAGCUCAGCGUUUCAUUUCUUAGAGAUGGGAAUCGUACAUUUAAUGUCUUCUCGGAGAUUAAGUGGUAGAUGGUGCCCUUCAUCUCUUCAAGGGAAGAGAAUUCACUCCCCGCUGAACUCUGCUCUCUUCUGGCCGCCGGGAACAUCUCCAGAGUGGGACCUGGUUUGCAGCUAGAGACAUCAGUGGUCGUCAGGAUUGGAGGGGAAAAUGGAGACAGACAGAAAGACGAGCUGGGUUGCUUAAGGACCCUGGAUGAGAAGCGUCGAGUGCUGCCCGAGAGCCAAGUCUUCCCUCCCUCGCCAUCACUCAGAACCUCCCUCGCCUACUCAGAACCACAAGUCAAAAGAGAGGUAUUCCUGGGAAGCCCUCCUUGGGUGUUCUGUGUUUCUGAGAUGCCCCCAACACUGUGAGUGAAAGACUAAAAUGAGGGCCACCAUGCUUUGGAGAGGCUGGCAAGGGGUCAGAGCCAAGUUCAUGGCUUGCCUGUUCGAUUCGUGCCUCCUUCAGAUGCCGAAGCAAGGACAGCCCCUCCAUUCCCAAAGUUUCCAGUCUCGCAGUUGUGUACUUUUUUGAACUCACACCAUUGAAAAAUAUCAAGGUCAGAACAUGAUUGAAGAACCUUCUUCCUCUCUUUUAAGUUGCUGCGCUUAUAUGAUAUUGUUUUCCAC